AAUUUCACCCAAGACCGCUACAGAUUCACAAAGAGUGGACUGCAGCUGGAGUCAGUGCUUCAAGAGCCACCACUCACAGACAUAUGCAAGACACGGGUUUCAGCUGUCGCAUUCCUUGCGUCAAGCCACUCUUGAACAAGAGACAGUGUCAGAAGCGUCUUGCCUGGGCUAAAGAACAAAAAAAAAAAAGGAGUGGACUGCUGCUGAGUGGUCCAAAGUUAUGUUCUCUGAUGAAAGCA